GCGUCGGUAGCUCAGUGGUAGAGCGUGGGACUGCAGUAUCCUGCUGUAGGCAUCUUAAGGUCACCAGUUCAAUCCUGGUUCGGCGCU